UACAGAGGUCCCGAGCGUCGUUCGGAUUCACUGGGCGUAAAGGGUGCGUAGGUGGCAUGGUAAGUUUGAUGUGAAAGCUCAGGGCUCAACCCUGAAAUGGCAUUGAAUACUACUGUGCUGGAGGUUUGGAGGGGGGACUGGAAUUCUUGGUGUAGCAGUGAAAUGCGUAGAUAUCAAGAGGAACACCAGUGGCGCAGGCGAGUCCCUGGACAACACCUGACACUGAGGCACGAAAGCUAGGGGAGCAAACAGG
rnacentral:rRNA from 1 species